ACGCACGCUGGCGGCAUGCCUCACACAUGCAAGUCGCACGAGACCUUCGGGUCUAGUGGCGCACGGGUGCGUAACGCGUGGGAACCUGCCCUUAGGUCCGGAAUAACUCCCCGAAAGGGGUGCUAAUACCGGAUAAUGUCUUCGGACCAAAGAUUUAUCGCCUUUGGAUGGGCCCGCGUUGGAUUAGCUAGUUGGUAGGGUAAAAGCCUACCAAGGCGACGAUCCAUAGCUGGUCUGAGAGGAUGAUCAGCCACACUGGGACUGAGACACGGCCCAGACUCCUACGGGAGGCAGCAGUGGGGAAUAUUGGACAAUGGGCGAAAGCCUGAUCCAGCAAUGCCGCGUGAGUGAUGAAGGCCUUAGGGUUGUAAAGCUCUUUUACCCGGGAUGAUAAUGACAGUACCGGGAGAAUAAGCUCCGGCUAACUCCGU
rnacentral:rRNA from 1 species